GUUCUUCUUAAUACGUAAAGCUUAUGCAAAUAAAGUCCUCUUCCUACAAGAGAUUUAAGUGAUAAAUAUUCAUCAUAAUACACAUAACAAUCUUGCGAUAUACAGGGUGAGUUUUAGCAGAGAGAAAUCUGAAAGCGGCCACGCCGGCGUUUUACUUGAUACCGUUUUCUUCAACUGAUUCCAGCGCUUUACGCCCAUUUUCAUUUUUGGAACUAUUCUGCUACACCUAUUUUCAAGCACUGCCGAUAAAGUCUCCACUUGGAAAGAGACAAUGGAAUCGAUUCAUGGAUAGCCUCAAAAAGCGAAGAGUUUUUUCGACGUGGUAUUCGUAUGCUGCCAGAAAGAUGGGAAAAAGUAGUGGCUAACGAUGGACAAUACCUUGAAUAAAUUAUAUAUGUACAGUUUUUCACAAUAAAGCUGCAAUUUUUCCAAAA